rnacentral:rRNA from 1 species
GACGAACGCUGGCGGCGUGCUUAACACAUGCAAGUCGAACGGAAAGGCCCUGCUGUUGUGGGGUGCUCGAGUGGCGAACGGGUGAGUAACACGUGAGUAACCUGCCCUUGACUUUGGGAUAACUUCAGGAAACUGGGGCUAAUACCGGAUAGGAGCUCCUGCUGCAUGGUGGGGGUUGGAAAGUUUCGGCGGUUGGGGAUGGACUGGCGGCUUAUCAGCUUGUUGGUGGGGUAGUGGCUUACCAAGGCUUUGACGGGUAGCCGGCCUGAGAGGGUGACCGGCCCCAUUGGGCCUGAGCUGCGGCACAGACUCCUCCGGGACGCAGCAGUGCGGAAUAUUGCACAAUGGGCGGAACCCUGAUGCAGCAACGCCGCGUGCGGGAUAACGGCAUUCGGGUUGUAAACCGCUUUCGCCUGUGACGAAGCGUGAGUGACGGUAAUGUGUAAAUAAGCACCGGCUAACUACGUG